GGCCGUUAGUUUUCUCGUUUGAAUUGUUUUACAUUGUCUUAUCGGGGCCUAUUAUAGCUGACUAUGCGGUAUGGGCUUUGCUCAUUGUUGAAGGCCGUACGGUGACCUAUAGUUGUUAAUGUCUGUGUCAUUUUGGUCUUUUGUGGAUAGUUGUCUCAUUGGCAAUCAUACCACAUCUUCUUAUUUAUACUUACUCAAAUCCAAUCUAUUAGAAAAACUAAUUAUUUCAAAAGAAUGACCACUAUGCACUUCC
rnacentral:lncRNA from 1 species